rnacentral:rRNA from 1 species
UUGUUUGAGGAUAUCAGUGUUGAUGGCACUGACCAUUGGAACCCCGCAUCUGGUCUGCCUCCCCCCUCUAGUUCGGCAUUGAAAAUAGCCUUGAAUGUUGACGAAAUCACCGAUCUUGAUUUGGAGGAUGAUAGUGAAGAGCAACCUUCUCCGACAGUAGCUAGUUCAUCUAAAGUGAGGCUUGGGGUCACGAUUCCAGAGAAGAACAAGAAAUCGAAGACUUCACAAGUGAUGCAAGAGGAGAUUAGAAAGAUUAGUUCUAUUGCCCAAGCUUCACACACAUCGUUUCAGUCUUUUCUACAGAAAGAUGAGACCAUUUCUGUUGCCUCUACCAUGGAUUUAGUUCGUGCUUGUGGUGCAAUAGACGGCACUGAUGAGCAUUUCAUUGCUACUGAGCUCUUUCUGAAGAGAGAGCAAAGAGAGAUGUUCUUGCACAUGACAUCCAACUCUCGAAAGGGUUGGUUGCGUAGGAGGUUUGACCUCAAGUAUGGGAACUAG